rnacentral:pre_miRNA from 1 species
AUAGCUCCUCGCGGCGACGCGUAUUCUUGGGUAAAUAAUACGUUUCCCGCUGUUAUUGCUUAAGAAUACACGUAGCCGGGGGGAGUGCG